UACGUAGGGGGCAAGCGUUGUCCGGAAUUAUUGGGCGUAAAGCGCGCGCAGGCGGCGACUUAAGUCUGGUGUUUAAACCUUGGGCUCAACCUGGGGUCGCACUGGAAACUGGGUGGCUUGAGUACAGAAGAGGAAAGUGGAAUUCCACGUGUAGCGGUGAAAUGCGUAGAGAUGUGGAGGAACACCAGUGGCGAAGGCGACUUUCUGGGCUGUAACUGACGCUGAGGCGCGAAAGCGUGGGGAGCAAACAGGG
rnacentral:rRNA from 1 species